UGUGGAAUGAUUUUAUAAAGCUGAUAUUAUUAUCACUACUAUUAUCAUUAUUAUUAAUAUCACAACCACCACCACCACUGGAGAGGGUGGGGGUGAAUAUUAUUUUUGGAAAUGGCACAAAUGCCAAAACAAUUGCUAUGAUUAGGUUAAAAUCCUGAGGAUAUAACAAAAAUGUUGGAAUACAUGCAAUUUAGGGCUGCUUUCUAACAUGUCCAGAAUAAAUUGAUUAUAACAGAACAUCAUUUGAUUUAUACAGAGGGGAAACAUUGUUUUGAUGAUAGUGACUGGACUUUGGAAACAUGUCAUGCCAUGUGAGAUUUGAGGUUCUCGCAACAUUGAAGAUGUCUUCUGGGUUGUAACAUUGUGUGGACGUACAGGAACUUUCAAGACAUUUUUGCCAAUAAAAUGUUUCAGAGGCAUUCAUGUCAUGAAGUCUAGAAGUUUGAAGAAAGUUUCAUAAAUAGAAAAGUAAAGCAGUAGUAACAGCAGUGAAGACACUGAAUGUGGUAUGAAUAUGGGCACACAUUUAAAGGUCUCUUUUAUUGUUGCAUUGCACAUCAAUCUGUGUUUUUGUAGAUAUGAAGACAUGAUCAUUUUGUGUACGUUUUUACACACAAAAAGAGAUAUUUGUGUGACAUGCCAGGGCACUUGUCCAUUAUGUAGUCAUUCUGCUUGUAACUAAUAUGGAUGAGAUUCCUUCUUAAGAAGUUCAUAAUUGCUCAGAAUGUAAACAAUUUCUAUCCUUUUUUGGAACCUGAAAUUUCAUUGCUGUGUUUACAGUAGCCUGCCACUCAAUCCUAUCCUGAGCCAGAUGAAUUCACUCAACAUUCCAGGCAUUCUUAUAAACCUGAAAAGUUUAUUGUUACAAUAUUGCUUAUGUAUGUGCUUCUUUUGUUAGCUAUCCUCUGCUAUGAUGGAUAUUACCAAAGCAAAUGGUGAUUUAAUUUACAAAAAUAGCACUGGUAAUGGGCUGCAAUGCUUAGCAAAGCUGGUCCAGUUCACAGUCUGUUUAUCUAAGAUGUAUAUCAUAUUUUUAAUGGGAAAAAGAUAAUGUUCUUACAACAAGUACCAGUAAAAAAUCAGUAUCCCCAAAUAUGAAUAAAAUUUGCUGUCAAACAGGAAAUGUAUUGUACAGUAUAAAUACUUGUGUAAAUACUAGUAAGUGAAAUGUAUAUCUUCUCUCUCUUUUUAAUUCAUGUGUCAAUAGGUAAAAGAAAAAUAUUAUCAUCAAGGGUGACAUGCUGUAUUGGUUGUAAUUAGUGGGAUAUGAACCACAUCUGCACAAUGGCAUAUGCAAUUAAGUAAUUUUUUAUGUUUAAAAGUCUAGUCAGAGUUAUUUUGCAAAAUACAGUCUUGAUUUGUAACUUUAUAUUGCAUGUAUGCAAUAGUAUUAUCAUGUUU